CAGUCGCCGCGGUAAUACAGAGGAUGCAAGCGUUAUCCGGAAUGAUUGGGCGUAAAGCGUCUGUAGGUGGCUUUUCAAGUCCACCGUCAAAUCCCCGGGCUCAACCCUGGACAGGCAGUGGAAACUACUAAGCUGGAGUACGGUAGGGGCAGAGGGAAUUCCGGUGGAGCGGUGAAAUGCGUUGAGAUCGGAAAGAACACCAACGGCGAAAGCACUCUGCUGGGCCGACACUGACACUGAGAGACGAAAGCUAGGGGAGCAAAUGGGAUUAGAUACCCCCGUAGUCCCUGUCUCUUAUACA
rnacentral:rRNA from 1 species